rnacentral:lncRNA from 1 species
GCCACUAAGGAUCUCCACGAUGCCAUUUCAUCGGGCAACUACCCCGAGUGGAAACUUUUCAUCCAGACCAUGGAUCCUGCGGAUGAGGAUAAGUUUGACUUUGACCCACUUGAUGUGACCAAGAUCUGGCCUGAGGAUAUUUUGCCUCUGCAACCGGUUGGUCGCUUGGUUCUGAACAGGACCAUUGACAACUUCUUCAAUGAAACUGAGCAGCUCGCUUUCAACCCGGGUCUUGUGGUUCCUGGAAUCUACUACUCAGACGACAAGCUGCUCCAGUGUAGGAUAUUUGCUUAUGGUGACACUCAGAGACAUCGUCUUGGACCAAAUUAUCUGCAGCUACCAGUGAAUGCUCCCAAAUGUGCUCACCACAACAAUCACCAUGAAGGUUUUAUGAACUUCAUGCACAGAGACGAGGAGGUACGUCUUAGUACCACUUGAGCUACCAUUGUUAGUCUUUUGACUUGGAAUCAAAAUUCUUAUAGGGUGUUUGCUUUUUACAGAUCAAUUACUACCCCUCAAAGUUUGAUCCUGUCCGCUGUGCCGAGAAAGCUCCUAUCCCUACAAACUCCUACACUGGAAUCCGAACAAAGGUCUGAUUCAUGACAUGCGUUCUUUAAAUCUUGAAAACCUCAGACUCAAUAUAUUGAAAAGUGUCUGCUAAGAAAACCUUGAAACUGCUAAUGUUGCAGUGCGUCAUCAAGAAAGAGAACAACUUCAAACAGGCUGGAGACAGGUACAGAUCAUGGGCACCAGACAGGCAAGACCGGUUUGUUAAGAGAUGGGUUGAGAUUCUGUCGGAGCCACGUCUCACCCACGAGAUCCGCGGCAUCUGGAUCUCUUACUGGUCUCAGGUGAGAACAAAAAACCACUCAGUGAAAUCUCUGCUUCCUUUUUCACCAAAUAUUCAGCAAACUAAACAUUAUAAUCUCUCUUAUCUUUCAGGCUGAUCGAUCUCUGGGACAGAAACUUGCAAGCCGUCUGAACGUGAGGCCAAGCAUCUAGAGACCAAUCUCCAGAUAAGUUGAGUCUAAUGCGAGGUACACAAUCUCAUCGAUCCAUCAUCGCUUGGUCGUUAAAUCCGUCAAAAGAUAUUCCACCUGUGUUGUUGUUUCAUGUCAAUAUAAUAAUAAUGCAUAUGCUUGUAAUCCCAUAGACUCUUGUUUCCUUCGGUUUUAGUCGCACAGUCUGUGUCUUUGUAAUCUCUUUUACAAUAAAUCAAUGUUUCUUAUGGUGGUCGUAUACAUAUAUUUUUAAGAGAAAUUGCACUAGAUAAUUUAAAAAAAAAACAAAAUUAAAUAUCUAACCUCUAACCCCUCUAUUCACUCUCUUUCUCUUCCUAUCUCUCUCUACCUUCUUUCUAAAAAACUAAUUUUUCUUUUUUUUUGGUUAUUCACCUAAAUCACCACUCUCUCAUUUUUAAUUCAGCAUUAGAUUAAAAAAAAAAAAAAAACAGAGAAAAUAUUUGGUUAUGUAUAAUUUUAAGGAGAAUCCAGAAUUGGAUCCACAAUUGUCUAUUAAUGGUAUAGAAUCUGACGAAAUUAAAGACGAUAUAUCAUCCACACGUAAUUAGUUUGAUUAUCAUUUGGAUAAGGAUAAACAAAGAAAAAACACAUACGUUUUUUGCUUGUAUCGCGAUACAUAACGAGAUUUGUCUCAUUUUAUCGCGGCGGGAUUUUGGGAUUGAGCUAAAAUAAGAUAUUUUAGCUUUUGGCUCGCUAUAAAAAAAAUCGACAACAGUGCAGACGCACGCCGAUUUGCGUAGAGAGACUCAACUAAAAAAAUCACAAAGGAAAAUUUGGGAUCAAAAUUAGUCUUGCGGCAUCAUGGAUCCAUACAGGGUACAUCGAUCGAUUCUCUUUAGGCUCCUUUUUUUGUAAUCUGAAAUUUUGCCUUACUUGAUUUCGUAUCAAUUUGGUUUUUGAUUUGGUGUUGAAUACUACAAAGUAUACGAUCUCUCUCGGUUAAAAUGAUAUGCAAAAUUGGGGUGAUUGUUCGACCUAUUGAGGUUUUUGUGGGGUCUUUAACUCAAUUUCUUUAAUAUUUAGCAGAGAUCAGGUUUGGGAUUUACAUGCGUUGAAUAUUAGAAAAGAAAACUGGUACAUAUUUAGGAUUCUACAUGUUUUCUUCGUCUAUUGAUUGUUUAAUCAAACAAGUCUUAAGGCUCAUGUUUUAAGGUUUCUUUAUCACUGUGUUUGAUUGUGAAUAUCAUUGUACCUUAAAUAUCAGCUCGGAAAUGCUAACGUUUUCGUGAUUUGUAUCUUACUUUUUGUUUAGUUGAAUUUUAAGUUAAAUGGAUCAUAUACUUUGUGGCAUUGUUAUCUAUCUAGUUACAAGUAUCUCAUUUGUCAAAGACGUUUCUCCAUUUUAAGGGAAUUUGGUUAAAUUUUUUGAUCCAGUUGCAUUUUUUAUUCUUCUGAAUUUAUUUGUUGACUGCAGGUUCGUCCUUCAAGCGCUCAUGAUUCCCCUUUCUUCACUACAAACUCGGGUGCUCCUGUCUGGAACAACAACUCUUCUUUGACUGUCGGAACUCGAGGUGCGUCUCUCUUUCUUUAUCUCUCGAAUACAAAUUAUAGCAAAUAGGUUGAACCAGUGGUUGUCAGAGAUGUCCUUAAAGCUAGAGUAAUGGAAGCCAAAUAAUUUUUAUAAACGUUUAGAUAAGAAUGUCAUUAGUGUUUUUCUGGACUUGCGUGAAUCAGCUCUCUUCCUUCAUUUAUAUGCCAAAUCUAUUAAUUCUUCCAAUGUUUAUUCUGUUUGCUUUCUUGAAAAUUUAGAAAUGUGAAACGAUGAUAUUGUAUACUGUCAGGUCCAAUUCUUCUGGAGGACUAUCAUCUGCUUGAGAAACUCGCCAACUUUGACAGGGAGCGGAUUCCUGAGAGGGUAGUUCAUGCCAGGGGAGCCAGUGCUAAGGGUUUCUUUGAAGUCACUCAUGACAUUACACAACUUACUUCUGCUGAUUUUCUUCGAGGACCUGGUGCUCAGACUCCUGUUAUUGUUCGUUUCUCAACUGUCAUCCAUGAGCGUGGCAGUCCCGAGACUCUCAGAGAUCCUCGUGGUUUUGCUGUUAAGUUUUACACCAGAGAGGUUAGCUUUUGUCUUAUCCUUCCAUCGUCUCUCUGUUUUCUGUAAUCAAUAUCUAUGUGUUUGCUGUUGUUGGAAUGUUUUAUUUGCUCAUCUAUUUCGUUUUACCACCUAUUUGAUUAAUUGCUAAUCAUAUUGUACUCUUCUGAUUCUUAUUACCCUCUGUUUGCAAACUCAGGGGAACUUUGAUCUUGUUGGGAACAACUUCCCUGUAUUCUUCGUCCGUGAUGGAAUGAAAUUCCCUGACAUGGUCCAUGCAUUGAAACCGAAUCCCAAGUCCCACAUUCAGGAGAACUGGAGAAUACUGGACUUCUUCUCCCACCACCCAGAGAGUUUGCACAUGUUUUCGUUCCUCUUUGAUGAUCUCGGUAUCCCACAGGACUACAGGCACAUGGAAGGUGCUGGGGUCAACACUUACAUGCUAAUCAACAAAGCUGGAAAAGCUCACUAUGUGAAAUUCCACUGGAAGCCGACUUGUGGGAUCAAAUGCCUGUCGGAUGAGGAAGCUAUCAGAGUUGGAGGAUCCAAUCACAGCCAUGCUACUAAAGAUCUCUAUGACUCGAUCGCAGCCGGGAACUAUCCACAGUGGAAUCUCUUCGUUCAGGUGAUGGAUCCUGCCCACGAAGACAAAUUCGAUUUCGAUCCGCUUGAUGUCACAAAGAUCUGGCCUGAAGAUAUCUUGCCUCUACAACCUGUUGGCCGCUUGGUCUUGAACAAAAACAUCGACAACUUCUUUAACGAGUACGAACAGAUUGCUUUCUGUCCUGCUCUUGUGGUUCCAGGCAUCCACUAUUCAGAUGAUAAACUACUCCAGACCCGGAUCUUCUCCUACGCUGAUAGUCAGAGACACCGUCUUGGACCAAACUAUCUGCAACUACCUGUCAAUGCCCCUAAAUGUGCUCACCACAACAAUCACCAUGAUGGUUUUAUGAACUUCAUGCACAGGGAUGAGGAGGUAAUAAUCUCUCUCGGCUCUGGAAACUCUCAGAUACUUAAAUUCACCACCAUUUUCACAUUUAUAUGAAGUAAAUUUGUUACUUUCCAAUUCCAG